GCAUGGCCGAAUUCUGUACCAACAGGUCUGUGGUGGAUACAGUCAGACACCAUGCAACAUUCUUCUCUCAUUUCUCCUAAGUGACUGGAUGAGUUCUGUCUUGAGCCUCAUCCAGCUGUGUAGAUAUGAGUACAAUG
rnacentral:snoRNA from 1 species